rnacentral:rRNA from 1 species
CCCGGUAAACGGCGGCCGUAACUAUAACGGUCCUAAGGUAGCGAAAUUCCUUGUCGGGUAAGUUCCGACCCGCACGAAAGGCGUAAUGAUUUGAGCACUGUCUCGACAAUGCAUCCGGUGAAAUUGAAGUACCAGUGAAGAUGCUGGUUACCUGCGCCAGGACGGAAAGACCCCAUGGAGCUUUACUCCAGUUUGAUACUGGGAUUCGGUACUGCAUGUACAGGAUAGGUGGGAGACGAAGAAGGAUGGACGCCAGUCUGUCCGGAGUCGCUGUUGGGAUACCACCCCUGUAGUACUGGGUUUCUAACCAGUUGCCAUGAACUGGCAAUGGGACAAUGUCAGGCGGGGAGUUUGACUGGGGCGGUCGCCUCCGAAAGGGUAUCGGAGGCGCUCAAAGGUUCCCUCAGAAUGGUUGGAAACCAUUCGAAGAGUGCAAAGGCAGAAGGGAGCUUGACUGCGACACCGACGGGUGGAGCAGGUACGAAAGUAGGACUUAGUGAUCCGGUGGUAUAAAGUGGGAUUGCCAUCGCUCAACGGAUAAAAGCUACCCUGGGGAUAACAGGCUUAUCACUCCCAAGAGUUCACAUCGACGGAGUGGUUUGGCACCUCGAUGUCGGCUCAUCGCAUCCUGGGGCUGUAGCAGGUCCCAAGGGUUGGGCUGUUCGCCCAUUAAAGCGGUACGCGAGCUGGGUUCAGAACGUCGUGAGACAGUUCGGUCCCUAUCUGUCGUGGGCGAAGGAUAUUUGAAAGGAGCUGUCCCUAGUACGAGAGGACCGGGAUGGACGCACCUCUGGUGCACCAGUUGUCACGCCAGUGGCACAGCUGGGCAGCUAAGUGCGGAUCGGAUAAACGCUGAAAGCAUCUAAGCGUGAAGCCGUCCUUAAGAUAAGAUAUCCCACUUUUAAGUUAAGACCCCUUGUAGACUACGAGGUUGAUAGGUC